rnacentral:rRNA from 1 species
CCUACGGGAGGCAGCAGUGGGGAAUAUUGCACAAUAGGCGAAAGCCUGAUGCAGCGACGCCGCGUGAGGGAUGAAGGCCUUCGGGUUGUAAACCUCUUUCAGUAGGGAAGAAGCGCAAGUGACGGUACCUACAGAAGAAGCACCAGCUAACUACGUGCCAGCAGCCGCGGUAAU